CACGACACUACGGCGUCCGUGGCCGCGUCCGACACCAUCUCGUACGUCUUCGCCACGAACGGCGCCGGAAACGGUGGCCCCUCCAUCGACCGCGGCACAACUGACGACCCCUCCUCUGCUUCCGCCGCCCACGGCUCCGGCUUCGGCUCCAGCUUCACUGCCGCCACGCUCCGCGCCAUUGCUUCGACUCCGAACCCGACGCCGCUGGUCCGCGUCGUCCUGGGCUUGCAUCCGCUUGUCCCGGGGGCGAGCGGGCACGAGGAGGAAGAGGCCAUCUGGCUGCGCGGUGGGCCGGUGGCG
rnacentral:misc_RNA from 1 species